rnacentral:sRNA from 1 species
UCCACUGAGUUACGGGAAGUAGAAUGA